UACGGAAGGGGCAAGCGUUGUCCGGAAUCAUUGGGCGUAAAGAGCGUGUAGGCGGCUCGAUAAGUCUGCUGUGAAAGUCCAGGGCUCAACCCUGGAAGGCCGGUGGAAACUGUCGGGCUAGAGUCCGGAAGAGGCGAGUGGAAUUCCCGGUGUAGCGGUGAAAUGCGCAGAUAUCGGGAGGAACACCAAUGGCGAAGGCAGCUCGCUGGGACGGUACUGACGCUGAGACGCGAAAGCGUGGGGAGCAAACAGG
rnacentral:rRNA from 1 species